GGAAGUAAAAGUCGUAACAAGGUCUCCGUUGGUGAACCAGCGGAGGGAUCAUUACAGAGUUAUCCAACUCCCAAACCCAUGUGAACUUAUCUCUUUGUUGCCUCGGCGCAAGCUACCCGGGACCUCGCGCCCCGGGGGGCCCGCCGGCGGACAAACCAAACUCUGUUAUCUUCGUUGAUUAUCUGAGUGUCUUAUUUAAUAAGUCAAAACUUUCAACAACGGAUCUCUUGGUUCUGGCAUCGAUGAAGAACGCAGCGAAAUGCGAUAAGUAAUGUGAAUUGCAGAAUUCAGUGAAUCAUCGAAUCUUUGAACGCACAUUGCGCCCAUUAGUAUUCUAGUGGGCAUGCCUGUUCGAGCGUCAUUUCAACCCCUAAGCACAGCUUAUUGUUGGGACUCUACGGCUUCGUAGUUCCCCAAAGACAUUGGCGGAGUGGCAGCAGUCCUCUGAGCGUAGUAAUUCUUUAUCUCGCUUUUGUUAGGCGCUGCCCCCCCGGCCGUAAAACCCCCAAUUUUUUCUGGUUGACCUCGGAUCAGGUAGGAAUACCCGCUGAACUUAAGCAUAUCAAUAAGCGGAGGA
rnacentral:rRNA from 1 species